UACGAAGGGGGCUAGCGUUGUUCGGAAUCACUGGGCGUAAAGCGCACGUAGGCGGAUUGUUAAGUCGGGGGUGAAAGCCCGAGGCUCAACCUCGGAACUGCCUUCGAUACUGCGGGUCUCGAGUCCGGGAGAGGUGAGUGGAAUUCCUAGUGUAGAGGUGAAAUUCGUAGAUAUUAGGAAGAACACCAGUGGCGAAGGCGGCUCACUGGCCCGGUACUGACGCUGAGGCGCGAAAGCGUGGGGAGCAAACAGG
rnacentral:rRNA from 1 species